rnacentral:lncRNA from 1 species
GGGGGAUGGUGAGGAAGAUGACUGAAGGGAGAAAGCAGGAAAAGGGGGUGCCUGCAGCCCUGGACAACUUUCAGGAAGACAGUUCUGAUCUGUAGCAAUUAACACAUGGUCAUCCUCAGAAAAAGGAGAUACCCAUAGCUUAAAAUACAGGAACCAAGAACUUUGAGCCUAGACAUUUGGAUGAAAAGUGAUUUCCACCUGGAGAAAAUCAUUGUCCUUCUGUGCAGAGACUCUUCCAGCUGCCUAAUGGCCAACUGAGGCUGCUCCUUGACCUUGAGUACAAAUGGCCCUCAUAUCCAAACAGCCACCUGACCAGAGCCAACCGACAACCUCCUGUGAGCUUCUCAGCCCCAGGCUGGCUCUGCAGGGAACAUGAAGGAGAACCCAUCUCUGCUGCUUUUGAAGUGCAGUGGCUUUCACUUGGAAUGGAAAUCUUUACAGGUGGCACCAGGGGCUGUGCAGAGACGACCAGGGAGAAAUUCUGGACUUCUCAUGUUCUGCCUCUGAGACAGACUGUGGUGGGAAACACAAACAAUACAAAUCCUUGGUUCCAUUUUCCUCAUCCCUUCCUGGCAAAUGGAAUCAAAUGAGGGUGAGGGUGACUGGGGAAUAAAGCAGGGGGAGUGAAGAGAUGGGGGCCUGCUGUUAGAAGCAGGGUCUGAAAUCCACCUGCUCUGGGAUGAACUGGAAAGUGCUUCUUCUCCUCCCUUCCUUGACUGAUGGCUAUGGGAACUUUAGAUGGGGAAAUACUGAAACACUGAUCUCUCAACCAAAUAUAAUUUGUAUUAAGAAUUAAGAGUUCACAAGUUAUUCUCUCUCUUUUUUUUUUUUUUUUAAAGAAA